GAUGAAGAACGCAGCGAAAUGCGAUAAGUAAUGUGAAUUGCAGAAUUCAGUGAAUCAUCGAAUCUUUGAACGCACAUUGCGCCCCUUGGUAUUCCGAGGGGCAUGCCUGUUCGAGCGUCAUUAUAACCCCUCAAGCUCAGCUUGGUGUUGGGGCCUGCUGCACUGGCAGCCCUUAAAAUCAGUGGCGGCGCCAUCUGGCUCUAAGCGUAGUAAUUCUUCUCGCUAUGGAGUCCUGGUGGAUGCUUGCCAUCAACCCCCAAUUUUUCUAUGGUUGACCUCGGAUCAGGUAGGGAUAUCCGCUGAACUUAAGCAUAUCAAUAAGCGGAGGA
rnacentral:misc_RNA from 1 species